GUUAAGCGACUAAGCGUACACGGUGGAUGCCCUGGCAGUCAGAGGCGAUGAAGGACGUGCUAAUCUGCGAUAAGCGUCGGUAAGGUGAUAUGAACCGUUAUAACCGGCGAUUUCCGAAUGGGGAAACCCAGUGUGUUUCGACACACUAUCAUUAACUGAAUCCAUAGGUUAAUGAGGCGAACCGGGGGAACUGAAACAUCUAAGUACCCCGAGGAAAAGAAAUCAACCGAGAUUCCCCCAGUAGCGGCGAGCGAACGGGGAGCAGCCCAGAGCCUGAAUCAGUGUGUGUGUUAGUGGAAGCGUCUGGAAAGGCGCGCGAUACAGGGUGACAGCCCCGUACACAAAAAUGCACAUGCUGUGAGCUCGAUGAGUAGGGCGGGACACGUGGUAUCCUGUCUGAAUAUGGGGGGACCAUCCUCCAAGGCUAAAUACUCCUGACUGACCGAUAGUGAACCAGUACCGUGAGGGAAAGGCGAAAAGAACCCCGGCGAGGGGAGUGAAAAAGAACCUGAAACCGUGUACGUACAAGCAGUGGGAGCCUCUUUUAUGGGGUGACUGCGUACCUUUUGUAUAAUGGGUCAGCGACUUAUAUUCUGUAGCAAGGUUAACCGAAUAGGGGAGCCGAAGGGAAACCGAGUCUUAACUGGGCGUUAAGUUGCAGGGUAUAGACCCGAAACCCGGUGAUCUAGCCAUGGGCAGGUUGAAGGUUGGGUAACACUAACUGGAGGACCGAACCGACUAAUGUUGAAAAAUUAGCGGAUGACUUGUGGCUGGGGGUGAAAGGCCA
rnacentral:rRNA from 1 species